rnacentral:rRNA from 1 species
UACAGAGGGGGCAAGCGUUAUUCGGAAUUAUUGGGCGUAAAGGGCGCGUAGGCGGCCUGUCAAGUCUCUCGUGAAAUCCCUCGGCUUAACUGAGGACGUGCGGGAGAUACUGUCAGGCUGGAGUCCGGAAGAGGGUGGUGGAAUUCCCAGUGUAGCGGUGAAAUGCGUAGAUAUUGGGAGGAACACCAGUGGCGAAGGCGGCUCACUGGACCGGUACUGACGCUGAGGCGCGAAAGCGUGGGGAGCGAACAGG